GCUGGGCGUGGUGAUGCAUGCCUGUAAUCCCUGCAGCUCAGAAGGCUGAGGCAGGAGGAUCGUGAGUUUAAGGCCAGCUUCAGCAACUUAGGGAGGCCCUGAGCAACUUAGUAAGACCCUCUCUCUA
rnacentral:sRNA from 1 species